rnacentral:rRNA from 1 species
ACGGGUGAGUAAUGUCUGGGAAACUGCCUGAUGGAGGGGGAUAACUACUGGAAACGGUGGCUAAUACCGCAUAACGUCGCAAGACCAAAGAGGGGGACCUUCGGGCCUCUUGCCAUCAGAUGUGCCCAGAUGGGAUUAGCUUGUUGGUGAGGUAACGGCUCACCAAGGCGACGAUCCCUAGCUGGUCUGAGAGGAUGACCAGCCACACUGGAACUGAGACACGGYCCAGACUCCUACGGGAGGCAGCAGUGGGGAAUAUUGCACAAUGGGCGCAAGCCUGAUGCAGCCAUGCCGCGUGUAUGAAGAAGGCCUUCGGGUUGUAAAGUACUUUCAGCGGGGAGGAAGGUGUUGUGGUUAAUAACCGCAGCAAUUGACGUUACCCGCAGAAGAAGCACCGGCUAACUCCGUGCCAGCAGCCGCGGUAAUACGGAGGGUGCAAGCGUUAAUCG